rnacentral:misc_RNA from 1 species
AAGUCGUAACAAGGUUUCCGUAGGUGAACCUGCGGAAGGAUCAUUAGUGAAUAUUAGGGUGCUUUCGUACUUGCUUUUAACAGCUUUGCGAAGGGCCUGACCUCCACUUAUUUCACCCUGUGCACCUUUGGCAUUAGCAUAACGGCGGAAGAAUGGCCUUGUGGGUUGUUCGGAAGCCAAGCUUUGCGUCUUUUCAUCUUAUACACCAGUAAAAGAAUGUAAACAAAAACCAUAACAAAAAAAA